rnacentral:rRNA from 1 species
CCCUUAGAUGUCCUGGGCAGCACGCGUGCUACACUGACUAAUUCAACGAGUAUUUAUUUAUUUAACCUUGAUUGAUAAAUUUGGGUAAUCUUAUUCAAAGUUAGUCGUGCUGGGAAUUGAUGAUUGGAAUUAUUGAUCAUGAACGAGGAAUUCCUAGUAAGCAUAAUUCAUUAAAUUGUGUUGAUUACGUCCCUGCCCUUUGUACACACCGCCCGUCGCUCCUACCGAUUGAAUGAUGUGAUGAAUAUGUCGGAGUUAGACUACGUAUUUUGAAAGAAAUACACUGAUGGUAACUGAAGUGGAGUAGAUUAGCUAAGACAAGUAAAUUUUAUCAUUUAGAGGAAGGAGAANUCGUAACA